AAUUCGAUUGAGUUUGAUCAUGGCUCAGGAUAAACGCUAGCGGCAGGCCUAAUACAUGCAAGUCGAACAGUUGGUAGCAAUACCAAUAGUGGCGCACGGGUGCGUAACGCGUAACCAACCUACCCGAAUCUGGGGGAUAGCCCGCCGAAAGGCGGAUUAAUACCGCAUAAAACGGCAGACCGGCAUCGGUUCACCGUUAAAGAUUUAUUGGAUUCGGAUGGGGUUGCGUGCCAUUAGCUAGUUGGGGGGGUAACGGCCCACCAAGGCGACGAUGGCUAGGGGAGCUGAGAGGCUGGUCCCCCACACGGGCACUGAGAUACGGGCCCGACUCCUACGGGAGGCAGCAGUAGGGAAUAUUGGGCAAUGGCCGAGAGGCUGACCCAGCCAUGCCGCGUGCAGGAUGAAGGCUUUCUGAGUCGUAAACUGCUUUUGCCAGGGAAGAAAAGACGGGAUGCGUCCCGUACUGACGGUACCUGGUGAAUAAGCACCGGCUAACUCCGUGCCAGCAGCCGCGGUAAUACGGAGGGUGCAAGCGUUGUCCGGAUUUAUUGGGUUUAAAGGGUGCGUAGGCGGCCGUUUAAGUCUGGGGUGAAAGCCCGUUGCUCAACAACGGAACUGCCCUGGAAACUGGAUGGCUUGAGUACAGACGAGGGUGGCGGAAUAAAUGGUGUAGCGGUGAAAUGCAUAGAUACCAUCUAGAACCCCGAUUGC
rnacentral:rRNA from 1 species